CGUCGGAUCGCGAUCGAGCGGCUUGAACGAAGCGGCGCAAGCCUCCAAAACACGAGACUGCUUUUCCCCUCCUUUCGUCGUCCUCAACCCCUCUCCUCUCGUGGAUCCGAGUCAACUUCCUCUCACGACUCACUCCCUCUCGAUCUACCCAAUAAAUCUGCCUAGUCGGCGCGAGCGGAUUGCCGGUAAGCUGUGGCGCGGUGAUCCUAGUGGAUGGGAGCGGUGGUGGAGCAACCUCGCUGUCGCAGUCUGCCGAGAAGUUUUGGGGUGUUCCUCCCGGUGGGUGAAUCGGUGGCGGGAUCCCGCACGAUUCUCUUCAUCGGAGGCGAAGAUCUGCAGCCGUAUCGAGCGGGUAAGCGGAUUCGAGUUUGGGGCGGGGCGGUGGCGGUGGCGGUGAAUUGACUGCAGGUUCGAUCUGGUGGCGCGGUGGGUAUGUUUCUGGCCGCGAAGUCUCCUUUGAGUUUCGACGCGACAUCUAAGUUCCACUCGUCUCUGGUCUGCUGGUCACUCCCUUACCUGCCUCUCUGCCUAUGCCCGUGGUGUUUAGAUUGAUACACUGCAAUACCGUGCUGUGCACAAGGAUUUGGUUCUUGGGGGCAAUUUGAUGGCAUAUAGUACGUACCUGAUUAUGUGGACGAUUUUGAGUCAAAACUGAGUAGUGUUCUUUGAGGUCCGUGGAAUCAUAUAAUGACAUGAACUGUUGACCCUCGCUCUAGGAUUCAGACUGCAAAGCCCGCGUCGGCUUCUUCUUUGCUUCUGGUGUAAUAGCUCAUAAAAAUUAUUAUUUUGAUGCUUGUAUUUGUAGAACUUCAUGGUUUGCCUCUGAAAAAAGACCAGACUUAUGAGCAUGAUACUUAUUACUACUUGAUCUACUUUAUUGCAUAUUGGUUAUGUAGUUUUUUAUUUCCAGAUUAAUAGAAGGGUCCAAAUUUUGUUCUCCGGAUGUAACUUUUGCAGACUAACUUUUGCCUCUUAAUUCUUUUUUACUUCCAGAUCAGUAGAAGGAUGUAUAUUUUAUCCCCUAGAUGUAUUUUUUUGCAGACUAAUUAUUGCUUCUUAAAUUUUUCACUUCCAGUAGAAUGUAACUAUAUUAAUUUCUUUCUCUACUUUAGAUGUAAUUUUUAUCAUUUUUAUACAUCCUGAACGCUCAAUGGAUCAAGCUGUAAAACACUAGUAUAUUUGUGAUCUCAGUUUUGGUGAUUUUGGAUGUAAUUUUUAUAUUUUUCUUACAUCCAUCGCUGCAUUUUUACA